GGAGGGGUCGCAUAGUGGCCUAGUGCGGGCGCCUGCUAAGCGCUUAAGGGGUUUAUUCCCCUUCAUGGGUUCGAAUCCCAUUCCCUCCGCCA
rnacentral:tRNA from 1 species